UUGAAGCUGCUAAUGGUGCUCCUACAAAGCCGAGAGAUGUCCACUGAACUAAAACAUAUGUGAUGCCUAUAUGAAUGAUUGAGGGGAUCACAGAACAAACAACCAGCGGAAUGACCACAGACUGUGUCUGGAGAAACCUCAAGAUGUUAUGCAGGACUUGCUCUUAGAUUUGGUAUGGGGUUGUAUGUUUAUGCACUAAAAUGAGUACAACACCAACUGGGUCUAGUUCAACAGCUGGUUCUUGGUUUUCAGGCAUUGUACGAGGUCGUUUUGAUAAGUCUUCUACUAGUCCGAAAAUGGCCAACAAUUCAGCAGAAUUCACUGGAACUAAUGCGGGCCCAGUUAAUAAGAAGAAGCAGUUUCAAGGGGUUAUGUUUAAGUAUGGUCCCAAGUCCAUUCAGGUUGCCUUUAAAACUGGUGACUAUAAACAGCAAGCUAUAUUUAUUGGCGGGCUGACAGAUGGAUUUUUGGCUACCGAUUACUUGGAACCUCUUGCUAUUGCUCUUGACAAAGAGAAAUGGUCACUAGUCCAGUUUCUGCUCUCCUCUUCUUACACUGGAUAUGGCCUGUCAAGUUUAAAAGAAGAUGCUAUGGAGCUUGAUCAAUUGAUUAGUUACUUCAUAAAUAAAGAAGAUUCUGAGGGUGUGGUCCUGAUUGGACAUAGUACUGGCUGUCAGGAUAUUGUGCAUUACAUGCGGACGAAUUUUGCAUGUUCUAGAGCAGUCCGCGGAGCCAUUUUACAGGUGUGCACCUGUUUAAAAUUUUGUUGCUUUUACAUGUUUCAGCUAAUUGCCCGUUCUACAUUUUUCUUGGCGUGUUUAUAUCGAUUUUGGCUUUUAAUUUGUGCUUUCAGUGCUUCUAUUAAUCUUUAGUGUUUAAAAGAUUAACAAAUGCAAGGUUCUCAUGCUCCUGCAAUUAAAAGAAUUUUUUUGAAAGGAAUGUGUAAUUGUUGACACCCAUCUUGCAUUUUUAUAUGAAUCACAUGCUUGGUAAUUGUGUUUAGAUAUAGACCAUGCAGAGUUUCCCAUGGUAAAUUAUAGCAGUAAUAUAAGUAAAGUCAAAUUUGCAUCUCACCCCUAACUAGACACUAAACUUGCAUAAUUAGGCAUUAGUCCAACAAAGUAGUACUUAAAUUGAAUUACAGAGAUAAAAAUCAUAAAAUUAUCUAUCAAAUCCACAAGGUACUGAGUCUACUGACUUUUAUUAUAAAUAAAAUGAUUAUUAAGCUGGUCUUCCCUGAGUGUUAAUAUUUCAAAGACAGAGAAACAAAGUCAAAACCCGUUUCAGAUUAUUGUUCACGAGUAUUAUCUACAAUUAACUGAAAAUUUUGCUUAACACUACUCACUUACUCAAUAAUAAUUAAAUAACUUAAAAAACUAAGAUAAGUAAAAGACAUAAUUAAACUUACAAGAAAAGAGCAAAAAAUUAGAGAAGAAAACUUAUAAACUUCAAUGUUGUCACAUGAAAAAUAUAUUAAUUAAAAAUCCAAAUCAGUGCAAAACACAAUUAUAUAUGGAAAUAAAAUCAUAUAACAUAUAUAUAAAUAUAUAUUCUAUCAUUAAUCAAUCAAAAAGAAAUGGUGAAACAAUGGAGGAUGUUCAUUUCAUUGAGAAAAAUUUUCAUUCUUUAGAUUCCAAAUUUGAGUACAAUAUUGUAGCCAUCGAAUAAUCUAAAGAUAUAAGCAAAAUAUCACUGAUGAACUUACACAUUGAUAAACUUACACGCUGGUUACAAGCCCAUGAAUAAAGAUUGAACACGAAAAAGAUUGAAGUAUCAUUAGACAUUUCAGUCAAAACUCUUCUUCGAUGAAAAAACCCACAUUGUAAAGAAUAUGAAGGGGAUUGUAGUCGCGAAGCAGGAAGAAGUUUUAAGGGAAGAGGCUCAAGUUCUCGUGGGAGAGACUAUUACUAAGAAUUUUUUUGAGAUUUAUUAUGUUCCUGGACUAAAAAAUAAUUUACUUAUUGUUGGUCACCUUUUGAGAAAAAUAUAAUGACAUUCAAAUGAGACAUUUUUCAAAUGCUUUAACGGCAGAUCAUAGAGGAGAAUAUUUUUCAAAUGAGUUUAAGAAAUAUUACAAACAUAGUGGUAUUCGAUACAAAAUAACAAUCCGUUACACGCCACAAGAGAAAAGAAUGUUUGACUCUGUAAGAUUUGUCUAUCCAGAAACUGUGAGGGGAAGGUUAAACUCCCUGACACGUAUGACAACCUUUCUCAUCCUGAACUACUUUUGAUCCGGCUCAACUUUGUAUUAGUUUCGAGUUUUAAUGUAAGAAUCUAUAGGAAGCACAUGGAGAUCGAAGAUUUUCCGGCAUGUUUUAGCCCAUUUGGUCGAGCUCAAAGGAGGCGUUCGAUCUUCAGUUUGGAAGAAGAAUGAUGUACAAUCAAGAAAUGAUGCUGAGAAG